CCUUUGUUCAUUGUCAGGUCGUUGUCCCUGUUCAUGUGCAUUUUGGUUGUACUUUGUUCCUGUGUCAAGCAUCCCGGCAUUUCUUACUUGAUUUGUUUUGUUGGACUUGUUUCCUGGUUUUGACCGCUGCCUGCCCGUGGUUGUUCCCUGUCGGUGGUUGCGGCCACCAUGUCCUCUGGUGUCUGCGGGCCGCCCUUCCUGAUCUACCUGCUGCACCACACGAGCCAGCCGCCCUUCCUGUCUGGCCUGCUUCAUCACACGAGCCAGCUGCUUUAGUUCUGCCAAUCACGCUACACCAGCCAAGCCAGAACCUAUACUCACCGUCUCCGUCCUCUGAGUCCAGUCAGUUCUCCACGGACUGUGACUACUAACGUCACUACUGGCUAUAGCAGACUACACUGGAAUCACCCGCUUUUGAAGAGCACUUAUCAACCUGUCAUUGCCGUAUUUAAAUAAAGACUGUCACUACUACUACUAUCCAGUUCUCCACUUUCCUGUGUUCUGCAUUUGGGUCCUUAGCUUGUGAACCAUAACAAUUGCAGCUCUUCAAUGGUGUUUGUGUAGUUUACCUCCUGAAUCCUACUGCGUUGUUUAAUUGAUGCAAGCAUUUCAUGAUUGCCUACAAAUUGCUUUGUAUUAUUUAAUAUCUGUAAUAAUUACUUUAAUUUGUAAGGUUAUAUAAUGCCUGUGGUGCAUGUGUAUGUCUGUGGGUGUGUACUGAUGUGUAAAAGUUAAUGGAGGUUGUUUUAUUUUGUCAUUGUUUGUGAGAUGGAGGUGAAACCAAUUUCAGGUAAUUGGAAUCAUUAAUUGAAAUUUAUGUUGCCACUUAAAUUCCCUUCUACAACCUUUAUUUGGCCAAUUAGAGGAAUAAAUGUGUGCUUUAAGUUUCAAAGUGAAAAGCAUAAAAUCCUAUAAAUUCA